AACGAACGCUGGCGGCAUGCCUAACACAUGCAAGUCGAACGAGAUCUUCGGGUCUAGUGGCGCACGGGUGCGUAACGCGUGGGAAUCUGCCCUUUGGUUCGGAAUAACAGUUGGAAACGACUGCUAAUACCGGAUGAUGACGAAAGUCCAAAGAUUUAUCGCCAGAGGAUGAGCCCGCGUAGGAUUAGCUAGUUGGUGUGGUAAAGGCGCACCAAGGCGACGAUCCUUAGCUGGUCUGAGAGGAUGAUCAGCCACACUGGGACUGAGACACGGCCCAGACCCCUACGGGAGGCAGCAGUGGGGAAUAUUGGACAAUGGGCGAAAGCCUGAUCCAGCAAUGCCGCGUGAGUGAUGAAGGCCUUAGGGUUGUAAAGCUCUUUUACCCGGGAUGAUAAUGACAGUACCGGGAGAAUAGGCUCCGGCUAACUCCGUGCCAGCCGCCGCGGUAA
rnacentral:rRNA from 1 species